GACGUAGGGCGCGAGCGUUGUCCGGAUUUAUUGGGCGUAAAGAGCUCGUAGGCGGCUUGUCGCGUUGACUGUGAAAACCCGCGGCUCAACUGCGGGCCUGCAGCCGAUACGGGCAGGCUAGAGUUCGGUAGGGGAGACUGGAAUUCCUGGUGUAGCGGUGAAAUGCGCAGAUAUCAGGAGGAACACCGGUGGCGAAGGCGGUUCUCUGGGAAGUAUCCUGACGCUGAGGAGCGAAAGUGUGGGGAGCGAACAGG
rnacentral:rRNA from 1 species